AUACUUACCGGGCGUAGAGGUUAUCCGUGAUCAUGAAGGCGGUUCCUCCGGAGCGAGACCUUGUCAUUGCACUACGAUGGGGUUCACCCUGCUGUUAUUCCUAAUGUGAAUAGUUCAUACGUGUAAUUUGUGGUAGCUGGGAAUAACGUACGUGCCGUCCCGAC